GCGGGGUGGAGUCUGCAAACUUUCAGUUCGAGGGCAUUGUGGGAAGUAGCCAUGGUCUGAGGCUGGCGCCUCACCUGUCAGCCGGUGUGGCUGCUACGCUCUCCCCUGGCUGUCGCAUCCUGGGCCAUCGCAGCUGUCGCAACCCGGGCGGCUGCGGCCACCAUGAUACAUUUCAUCUUGCUCUUCAGUCGACAAGGGAAACUUCGGCUGCAGAAAUGGUACACCACGCUCCCUGACAAAGAGAGGAAGAAGAUCACCCGGGAGAUCAUCCAGGCUGUCCUCUCUCGUGGGCACAGGACGAGCAGCUUCAUUGACUGGAAGGAGCUGAAACUUGUUUAUAAAAGGUAUGCUAGUUUAUAUUUUUGCUGUGCAAUAGAAAAUCAGGACAAUGAGCUCUUGACACUAGAGAUUGUACAUCGUUAUGUGGAGUUGCUGGACAAGUACUUUGGAAAUGUCUGUGAGCUGGAUAUUAUCUUUAAUUUUGAAAAGGCGUAUUUUAUCCUUGAUGAAUUUAUAAUAGGUGGAGAAAUUCAGGAAACAUCCAAGAAAACGGCAGUCAAGGCCAUUGAAGAGUCUGAUAUGUUACAGGAGCAGGUCAAGAGUCAAGAGGAUUUCAAGAAUUGUAAAGUGCCCUUUUAAAAUUGGUACUAAGGCCAUUCUUCCUGCUAUUUGGAAAUAAGAGACUGAUUAAGUUAAUAAGACAUUAGGCAUGAUUUCCCAGCAACUGUCUUGGCAAUACUUUGAGCUGAUUACUUACUCCUGCCCAUGGAGGGACUCCAUCCUCAGACAAUGGAAGAAUACAUGAACAAGCCCACGUUUUAACUGUGCAGUCUACUUGAAGAUUCUGAGUGCUUCGUGUUGGGAAUCAACCAAUGAGCAACUCUUUGCAUCCAGUCUCCACACAGCUUCUGGCUCCAUGCCAAAAAUAAUUUAAAGGGAUUGUUGUUAGCAUAACGUAUUUAUAGUUGCUACAUGUCUGUAUUAUACUGUGUAUCAGUACUCAUUGUGGCUCUAGUUGUUUCAAAUAAUUGCUGCAGAUUGAAUAGUUGUUUGCCGUGUUUGUGGAAUUUUUUAAACGUAAUUUCAAAUAUUAGUUGCAAUAUAAUAAUUUUUGUUGCCAUUUGAUCGGUCUACCUUUAGGCUGACAACUACUUUGUGAUAACACACAAUUUUGAAUGUAAAGUAUAUUUUAUAUAACAAAUGCCUUUCCUAAAUGUUUUUAAAAGGUACAUGAAUUCAAAUUUAUGUUACUAGUUCAGAUUUCAUACAUGAUACAGACAUUUUUAAAUGUUCAAUACUACUAUAAUUUCAGGUCAGAUACAAUUUAUAUGACUUUAAUGUUUUGAAUUCAAGUUAUUUUCUUCAGAAUUGGGAUAGAACUUUAUAAAUGAUUUUGAUGUUUUAGAAGGUGCUAGAUUGAGUUUUUUUUAAACUUUACUUUCAAUUGAAUAUAAGGGACAUUUCAAUAAGGUUAUGUUUUCUACAAGCUACCUAUUUAUUAUGGUUUCAGGAGAUCUGGAGAUAAAAUAUUACAGUAUCUCCUAUUAUUACCAAAGUACUAACAAAGGAAUAGCUAGAUCAAUAAUUGUAAUCUCCACUACUAUUUUACAUCUCAUGUUCCAAUUAAUCCUUGUGAUCGAGAGGCUUCUUCAAAUAAUUUUAAUGUAAGCUGAAUGCAUUAGGUUUCCUUAGGGCAUGUAUUUUCAUUGUGUCCUUUAUGGGAGGUGACGCUAUUCCUUUUUCCUCUCCUCUUCCCCAGGAAAAUAUUUUCUGCUGACCACUAUUAUUGUGACCAUAUCACCUUCAUGCUUCCAAAACAAACGUUCUGCAUAGUCAGGUACUGAGUGUGCUCAGACAUGAAGUAGGGAGUUGCUUUGUGGCGUUUGUUCUCAGCGCCCGUGUCUGGAGUUUCGGGUAUGCAUUUUCAUUGUGAGUGUCAGAGUCUGAUAUCAUCCAUAUCAGAGUGCUUAGGACGCUUACGAUUUUCCUAAGACAAUAGUGAGCUUGAGUUUGGGUUCUGUGGGAGAUCUCGAAAGGGAACAUGACGGUUUGUUGCCUUUGGUUCAUUUCAUCAGUCAUAUUUAAGGCAUGAUGGCAAAACCAGAAUGGAAGAACAGUCAAACGGACCCAUUCCUCAAUAUAACCAUUUAUAUAAAGGCAAUAAUUCAGUUUGCAUAUGAGGAAAUAAAUGGACUUUUAAUAGCUGACGUAGCUUCAGAUUAAUAAUAUGACUAUGGUGGCUGGUUGAUAUUUGUCCCUUUUGAACAACUUUGUUUAGACAGACUUCAGGUUUGUGCACUAACUUAAAAAAAUUGGUUAAGAAUCUUUGUUUUUCAAACAUUUUGUAAAACUGAACUUUCUGUAAUUUCAGAGGUUUUCUGGUUCCUUCGCAGUGUUUUUGAAUGAAGGUAUCAUAAAAUGUACUGCUUAUAUUCUGGAUAGAAACACUUUUGACACUGUCCAACUUGUACAAGGAUUCUUCCUGUCGAUGUACACAUAGAAAGUGAUUAUAUUUAUAUUACAUACUGGGGUAAAUUCAAAAGAUUUGAGGAAUGGCUUACAUGAACUUUAGUGAAAAUCAUUAUGCAUAUUUUAUUAUUACAAAAGUCUAAGAAAAGUACCAAGUGAAAAGAAAAAUAAUACUGAAUUUGUAUAAAACUUCCAAAUAAAAUGUUAAAAGAUGUUGAUAAUGAA